rnacentral:rRNA from 1 species
UCCGGAAUUUUUGGGGUUUAAAGGGAGCGUAGGCCUGGGGAUUAAGUGUUUUUGUGAAAUGUAGACCGUUCAACGUCUGACUUGCAGGCGCAUACUGGUUUCCGGGAGUACGCACAACGUUGGCGGAAUUCGUCGUGUAGCGGUGAAAUGCUUAGAUAUGACGAAGAACUCCGAUUGCGAAGGCAGCUGACGGGAGCGCCACUGACGCUUAAGCUCGAAGGUGCGGGUAUCGAACAGGAUUAGAUACCCUGGUAGUCCGCACAGUAAACGAUGGAUGCCCGCUGUUGGUACCUGGUAUCAGCGGCUAAGCGAAAGCAUUAAGCAUCCCACCUGGGGAGUACGCCGGCAACGGUGAAACUCAAAGGAAUUGACGGGGGCCCGCACAAGCGGAGGAACAUGUGGUUUAAUUCGAUGAUACGCGAGGAACCUUACCCGGGCUUGAAUUGCAGAGGCAGGAUUUAGAGAUAAUGACGCCCUUCGGGGUCUCUGUGAAGGUGCUGCAUGGUUGUCGUCAGCUCGUGCCGUGAGGUGUCGGCUUAAGUGCCAUAACGAGCGCAACCCCUCUCUUCAGUUGCCAUCAGGUAAUGCUGGGCACUCUGGAGACACUGCCACCGUAAGGUGUGAGGAAGGUGGGGAUGACGUCAAAUCAGCACGGCCCUUACGUCCGGGGCUACACACGUGUUACAAUGGCCGGUACAGAGGGACGGUGCAAUGCAAGUUGCAUCCAAUCUUGAAAGCCGGUCCCAGUUCGGACUGGGGUCUGCAACCCGACCCCACGAAGCUGGAUUCGCUAGUAAUCGCGCAUCAGCCAUGGCGCGGUGAAUACGUUCCCGGGCCUUGUACACACCGCCCGUCAAGCCAUGAAAGCCGGGGGUGCCUGAAGUCCGUGACCGGAAGGAUCGGCCUAGGGCAAAACUGGUGAUUGGGGCUAAGUCGUAACAAGGUAACC